rnacentral:rRNA from 1 species
AGGUUCUACCAUCGGUCGGGCUACCAAGUCUGUACUGGUGUAUAGAAUUUCUACCUUCUGGGGAACCAUCAUGUUAUUAAUUUAGUAUAGUGUGAAACCAGGACCUUUACCUUGAAAAAUUAGAGUGUUCAAAGCAGGCUUAUGUUUGAAUAUAUUAGCAUAGAAUAAUAGAAUAGGACGGUAGUCCUGUUUUGUUGGUUUCUGAAUCACUAUAAUGAUUAAUAGGGAUAGUUG